UUAUGAGACAUCUACCUAGUUCUCCUUUCAGCUUCCAAGAUGGAAUAAAGAGGCUACGACAGUGCUAAAACACAGAGCAUAGAUGUUGAUCAUAUAAAUAUUCAGCAAUCAUUCAUGUCUCGGUUCUUCCAUCCAAGUUUUAUGUCUUGUGUGAUCUUCAGGGUAUAGUUAAGAAUCUGUGUCCCUUCAAUCCUUGGCCUAGCAGCACUAUGGAGUUGGACUGAAAAGCUUGUGAAAGCCUUUAUUCUGCACAUUCACGGCUAAAGGAGAGCUACGUGUUUGCUUUGACACACCAUUUGCAAAUGGAAACAAUACCACAUUCACGUGAAAACGAAUCUCCCCCAACCCUGCAAUAGAAGCCACAAAGCUUUAAGUCACACGCUGUGGCAGAGACAAUAAAACAAGCCAGGCAAGAAUUCCAGCUUUCAGCUUUAUCAAAACUGUGUAGAAAAAUGAAAACAGAUAGUAUCCAUAUGGAUCAGCUCUAAAUGUGCUUUCAAGAACCCACUCGAGGCUUGGAACCAAUCCCUUUCAGACAAGAAGGACUCAUGUAGCUUAGCAUUUCUGACUAACCUGCCUCAAAUACUGAGUUACAAGAUGGAAUCAACUUUAAAUGCGCAUGUGUAAACCAGUUCAUUUCUUAGGAGCACUUGGAAAAAUAUUAACUCAGUCCCCAGCAACUCACCUUCUAAUGUGCUAAAAUAACGUGUUUCCACUUCACUCAUGGAAAGUGGGUGAGCAACUUUUAAGAGAUCUUGAAAAGACAGUCACCUUUACAAAUAUGCCAGGUUUCAUUCAGAGGUGUGCAAGGAGCACACACAGGAAGGUGGGAGAAGAAGAAACCCGCUUUUGCUGUUUGGAUGCCGGUAACCGAAGCCAGUCUGGAUUUGGAUGCCAGGGGAUUGUGUAAGGAUGAAGAUAAGACAAACAACCCAACAAAGGAAAUCUGAAGCUUGCUAUACGCUUAAAAGACACCCAAACCAUGCCACAGCAAACCACACGUCCCCUCGAUGAAGCUCAUCUCAAGGACGUGUUCUUGGUGACAUCUGUCACAGGAUGCUUCCUCUAAGUAUUCUGAAGAGAACGAAGGGGAAAGCAAACCAAUAACUUCUUUUCAUCUGUGCCUAAAGAGCGUCAGCUCCGAAAACAUGCACCUAGCAAUCUGGGCUCCAUGUGAAGAUCGCUACAGUAAUAACAGUAAAAUGGCAGAGCAAACGUGUGAGCCGGAGCCGCCGCCGCCACUUCCUCCUUUAUGUGUUCUCCUUAAUUGCCAGAAGAUAUUAUUU